GAAUUAGCAUAGGUUUCCUCCGCAACUGAUGCAUCUUCUAACCAGGCUGGGAACACAACACGCGCACACGCGCACACACACACGCACGCACCCACCCCACCCGGCUGCCGGACGCAAGCGUAAGUCAAGGACUUGCAUGCUAGAAUCAGACAGAAAAUCCAGAAAAGCCACGUUAUUUAACAGAACCCUACAAGGUCAGCUUUGAGUCAAAGCAGGUAACAGUUUCCUUCGAUGUUUUCAUGGACAUUUUUAUUCCCAAAUCCGAGUUCUCGCCAAUUCUCUAAAGUUCAAGCGCCCCUCCUGCUUUGCAGACCACAUUUCUCUCGGCCCUCGCGAGUGAGGUCGCCAAAUACUCGACGCCUCAAGAGCGAGCCGAGGAGGCAGAGGCCGACCAAGCCGGCCUCUCGGCAGCCCCGCCCGGCGCCCCGCGGAGAACGCCCGGGUGCGGCUCGAGGGAAGUUGUGUCAAGUCCCACGCGCGGCCCGCGGAGAACCCAGGGGCGGCCCGCGCGCGUCGGCCUAGCGGGGAGGGCUGCUCCGGGACACGGUGCGGCGGCCGCGGGCGAGUUGGACGCGCUGGCAGAGCCGGGCCGAAGGCGGCGGGCGUCUCCGGGCAGCCAUGUUCGCGGCGCCCGCCCGCGCAGCAGGACGGAGCCCUGACAGCAAUGUUUGCUACGGCCUCCCUCUGCAGUCAGCCUAAAGCAAGGAGCUGGAGGUAGAUGAGGCAAAGGUAAAGGAGACCAAAACAGUAUUUUAAAGAAAAAAUCAUUUAUCUUCAAAUAGGCUCCAAACCUAAGAUGGUGUAUACUGUUAGAGGACAAGAACCUGCUUCUAGCCAUCUUUGCGUCUCCAGGACCUGACUUGUGACCAUUCAAUAAGAGUUUGAUAGAUGGACAGACUAAUGAAUAGAUGAAGAUGAUUAGAAGCCAAAAUUUCUGAAUCUUCCUAGCACCCAGAACAUGGCUUAACAUCAAGGAAAUGCUCACUAAAUACUGUCAUAAUGGAAUGAAUGGAACCGAUGCCUAAUUGAAAAUCAUUAGGCUGUAAACCAUUUCCAUGUUCCAAUUUCUUCGUUUAUAGAACAGAAAUGAUAGUGUAACCACCUGAAAAUCCUUCACCUAGACUUCCAAAACCACACCCACCUCAUCAAUGAAGUCUGACUCUCUAGAAAGAAGCAAAUGACUGAAAUCAUGGUCCUGUGCCUUGACCAAAAUACCAUUCGUCAGAACAAAAGAAGUAGGUCAGUGAAACGGCAUUAGUAUAUCCUUCAACAGGCAAAUAAGUGAUAGUGUAGUUUGCUUUUGAAGUCGCUGUGAAAAGUUUUAGGUGAACAUCACCUACACCACAUUAAAAAUGGAAUCAAGUCAUUUUCUUUAAGAAAUGGAGUUUGAGAUAUGAGAAUUCUUUUGGGCUUUUUCUACUUAUUGGCCAAUUAUACACCCAGAUAUAUUUCUGCAAUAUUUCAAAGAUUCUAGUUCUAAUUUGUAUAAUAAAAAAAAUUAACAGCCUUUUCCAGACCACAUGUUUCCAACAAGACCUUCAAAGGCCUCGCUCGCUAUAUAAAACUGGCUUUAAACAAUUUCCUUUCCCAAAGAAGGAAAUAAGAUAUUUCGGUUUUGUAAAAGAGGCAAAACCAGGUACAGGCCACCUUUCCUGCUGGAGAGCUGGCAUAAGUGAGUGGA
rnacentral:lncRNA from 1 species